rnacentral:rRNA from 1 species
ACAGAGGUCCCAAGCGUUGUUCGGAUUUACUGGGCGUAAAGGGUGCGUAGGCGGUCGGGUAAGUUUCAUGUGAAAUCUCCAAGCUUAACUUGGAAAUGGCAUGGAAAACUAUUCGGCUAGAGGGUUGGAAGGGGGACUGGAAUUCCAGGUGUAGCAGUGAAAUGCGUAGAUAUCGAGAGGAACACCUGCGGCGAAGGCGGGUUGCUGGGCUGACACUGGCGCUGAACUGCGAAAGCUAGGGGAGCGAACGGGA